UACGUAGGGGGCAAGCGUUGUCCGGAUUCAUUGGGCGUAAAGAGCGUGUAGGCGGCCAGGUAGGUCGGUUGUGAAAACUGGAGGCUCAACCUUCAGAGGUCGACCGAAACCAUCUGGCUAGAGUCCGGGAGAGGAGAGUGGAAUUCCUGGGUGUAGCGGUGAAACGCGCAGAUAUCAGGAAGAACACCCGUGGCGAAAGCGGCUGCUCUGGAACGGUACUGACGCAUGAGACGGCG
rnacentral:rRNA from 1 species